UACGUAGGGGGCAAGCGUUGUCCGGAUUUAUUGGGCGUAAAGAGCGUGUAGGCGGCCGCACAGGUCCGUUGUGAAAACUGGAGGCUCAACCUUCAGAGGUCGACCGAAACCAUCUGGCUAUAGUCCGGGAGAGGAGAGUGGAAUUCCUGGUGUAGCGGUGAAAUGCGCAGAUAUCAGGAAGAACACCCGUGGCGAAAGCGGCUCUCUGGAACGGUACUGACGCUGAGACGCGAAAGCUAGGGGAGCAAACAGG
rnacentral:rRNA from 1 species